rnacentral:rRNA from 1 species
AUUGAACGCUGGCGGCAGGCCUAACACAUGCAAGUCGGACGGUAGCUCAGAGACCGUGCCCUUGGCUGACGAGUGACGGAGGGGGGAGUACGGUCUGGGAAUCGGCCCGAUAGCGGGCGAUCAGCACUGGAAACGGUUGGGAAACAGGCAUAACUACGCAAGACCAAACAAAGGGACCUGCGGUCCUCUCACUAGCGGCUGACGCCGGAUGGGAUUAGCUAGUAGGCGGGGUAAUGGCCCACCUAGGCGACGAUCCAUAGCCGGACUGAGAGGAUGACCAGCCACACUGGAACUGAGACACGGUCCAGACUCCUACGGGAGGCAGCAGUGGGGAAUAUUGGACAAUGGGCGAAGGCCUGAUGGAGCCAUGCCGCGUGUAUGAAGAAGGCUUUCGGGUUGUAAAGUACUGUCAGCGGGGAGGAAGGAGGUGCGGUGUAUAUCCGCGUCGAUUGACGUUACCCGACGAGGAAGCACCGGCUAACUACGUGCCAGCAGCCGCCGUAA